rnacentral:lncRNA from 1 species
UGGAUUGCUGGGGCAGAGCCUGUCCUGGAUGGCAAGAGAGGAAGAAGCCUCUCCCAGAUGCUCACAUGGAUCCUUGGUCCAUUUUCAGCCCUAAAUGCCCAAAUUCUCAGAAAGCAUCAGUGGUCCUAAUGGAUGUUUCUUUGCCAGGGCUGCCAAAGGACAAAGUGGCCCAGGAAGAUGGAAAGAGGUGCUCAAUUGCAAGGACACCCACUGGGAUGGAGAUGAGCCAGGCCACACAGGGACAGCAGCCAGCUCCCAGUGCUGCUGCCCAGCCUGCAAAGCCUCUCCCUCCCUCCAAGGCUUUCAGCAGUGCACAGGUCGCUAAGCAGAAAGAAGCACAUGCAGAUGACCUGCCUGAUGUGCAACCCAAGGGGAAAACCACGUCACAACCUCGCCUGCUAAAAUGCCUCCAUCCUCCUCCCCAGCCCCUCGCUCCUAAUGCAAUCCAAGGUGGAAGCACGGGUUUAUUUUUACAGCCCUGUCCCCACCUCCCCCAAAGUCAGAUGCUGCGGCUAAUUCGGAUGGAGAAUUUCAAUUGCCUGGAAAAUGAAGGUGCUGAAACCAAACAGCAUCCACAGGAGUUUUAGUCCCAAAUGCCUGUCUCGGUGCUAAAAAAAAUCAGGUACUGAAGGCUUAUCACCAAUGGGCUGCUGCUUUUCAGAGUUCCUCGAAGGCUCUGGGAUUGAGAUGGGUGCUGCCUCCCCCUUCCCAAGGAGGCCAGUGCGAGUGGAGGAAAGCCCAUUCCUCUCAGAUGUGGGAAAAUACUUUGCCCAUGAGACAGCUUAAAUGGGAUUUUAUAGCUUGAACUUAGAUGACUUCUUCUUCCCUUCCAGCAAAGAGGACACACUCAGGGCUGGGUGAAUCCUCCAGGGAGGAUGAAAAUGAAAGAUUUUGGGUCUAAGAGCAAUGUUUUAACAAUCUCUAAACUAGCAUCAUUGCUGUAUUUGCUGCAGGUCACCCAAGAGCGCACAUUCUCUGUGCGGAGGGCUCUGCUCUAUCUGCUUCUGCUGCCUUCCAGCCUGUGCCAGUCAGUGACCCGGCAACGUCACAGCCGCCUGAGGUGGGCUGUGACAGUCCUGGCCCCAUGAGUUUCUACUGCAGGGAAGCCUAGGGCUGUUACCUGCCCUUCCCGUGACAUACUCUGGCUUGGAGGACUGGAGUGGCUCUCCAGCCAGCUCCCAGGAGAGUGGAGGAGCCCACGGAAAAAAUAAGUAUAAAGAUAAAAUUAAAAAAUUAAACUAAGGAAAAAAAAGAAUAAAUAUAAAAAUGAGAAUGAAAAUGAAAUAAAUAAUAACAAAAUUUUUAAAACUAAAAGAAAAAUGAGUAAAACGGUAAAAGAAAAAUAAAAAAUAAAAUAACGAUGAAAAUAAAUAAACAGAUAAAAUUAAUAAAAGUAAAAAUAGAUUAACCCUGCUAUAAAAACUAGCCGAGUCUAACACUUGGUUUAUUGAUGCUGUGAAGAAACAGACCGAGCACUGGUGCACUGCUGGUGCCAUCCACCCUCCCCGCAGGGAGGAGGGCUGGGUACACCCCUUGUAUCAAAUCCCCGCCGAACCACCGCGAAAGCCGGAGGACGACAUUUACGUCCCGUACCCCAAAAGCCACCCUCCCGCGCCCUCUCAACAGUGUGCCUGCCCCUUUAAAUUCCGGCGGCGGAGCCAGGGAAUCCCUCUCGCAGCGCGUCAUCCGCGGCAAGGAAACCCGCGCUCGCGUCGUGCCACGCAAAUGACCAUUUUUGGCAAAGUGCGACAACGGACGGGACCAAGUGGGGCGGGGGGAGGCGGGACCUGACGGGAAGACGGCGCCGCGCGGCCUCCGCCGCUCCGCCCCCCCCCCCCCCCCCCCCCCCCCGCCAGGGCCGGCGGAGCGCGGGUCUGGGCGGGGUGGGGGUGGGGGCGGAGCGGCGGAGCGGCGGGGCGGGGGUGCGGGCGCGGUCCCCCGCUCCCGUCCCGCCCCCCCCUCCCGCGGCGGCGGCAGGUGGGAGGCUCCGCUCUGGCAAGGUGGGGUCGGUGCGCCGCGGGUUUGACGUGUGCGAGUGCACAUGGUGCGGCGGGCGGGCGGAUAAUAAGCGAGUGGGGCCGGGGCGAUGCCAUUGCUCUGAGUCACGGCGGGUGCGCGGAGCUCCCGCUGGCGGUACCGGGGAGCCGCGGGGCGUAAGACCCGGUUGAGUCACCCCCCGCGCCGGGAAAAGGGGCGGCCGGUGGUGGUGGUGGUGGCGGCGGCGGUGGCGGCGGCGUAAAAGAGGGGGGGGGGGGGGGGGGGGGGGGGGGGGGGGGAAAAAGAAGAAGGGGGGGUGGGGGGGGGGCGGGGGAGGACCGCUCCGCCUGCAGCCCCCGGGGCCGGGACCGCUCCGCCGGCGGGGCGAGUCUCGCCGGGCAGCGCGGAGAGAGGACAUCGGCGCGCGCGCGCCCGCCGCUGCCUGCUCCCGCCGUGCCGCCGAGCCCUCCCGUCCCGUCCCGUCGGCGCUUCGCUGCCGCCUCCUGAGCCCCUCUCAUUAUUGUUAUUUUGUUAUUUUUCUUUUUUCUCUCCUUUUUUUUUUAACAUUUUUUCCCCUUUUUCCCCUCCAAAGCCUUUUUUUUUCGGUUUUUUUUUUCGCCUUCCGCGGCGAGCAUUGGGAGGGCAAAGGGAAGAGCCGAAGAGGUCGGAAGGGAGAAGGGGGCGGGGAGACGGCGAGGGAGCGGCGGGUGUCGGUGCGGGAAGGCGGGGACGCGGCUC